UCUAAAUAACGAAAUUCUAACAGGGUCAACAUGCCUAUAUUUUGAUUAAUUGAACACAAGUGCUUGCUUUCCUCUUGCAUUUUGUUUUCGGUGACCGAAAGAUUCCACAUUUUUUAAGUGAAAAUUAUGCAACAUUUUUAAGAUUCUAUUUAUUUUGGAAGGAAAUCAAUUGACCACAUUUCUUUUGAUGCAGCCCAAUUUUACCUCCUGCGAAGCUAUCGUCCUAAAUAAUAUUAAAAACUCUUCCGUUUGAUUGCCGUCUUGAUUGAGAUUCAUUUUAUAUCGUUGUAGACAAUCAUUCAAAAAUAAACUCGACUUGUUUCAUGAAGUUACUGUUAUUUCAAGAGCUCAUCUUCCACCUUCCACUGUGCUGGGCCUAUGAUCCUAUUAUAGCACCACUUCAAAGUUUAUCUGGCUACCACAAACAGCAACAAUAUAAUAACUUCGAAUAGACUUUAGAGAAUAAGCAACAUUUUCUUUACCUUUUUUCAAAGAUGUGUUACACCCUUGCAAAUGUUUCCGUUUAUUUGUGGUUCUCCUAUUUUAUUGCCAUUGUGAUUUUAACUUACUUAUCACGAAACAUAAUUGGAAUGCUGAUUCAAUUCGUUUAUCUAAAAUAAUCAACUCAUGUUGGGUUCCUUAUGAUAAGGAUGUUACAGAAAAUGCAGAGAGCCAAUCGCCUCUGUUCCACCACUGGGAAUUCAAAUUAAGCAAGUGAGAGCACACAUCCGUGCCUGUCUCGUUGACUCUAAUCUAAAUAAUUAACAAGCUCUCAAUAUUCAUGUCAUGGUGUGCCAAACAUGUGAGGCAUUUUACCAAUAUGGUGUCUAUUUAUUGUCCAAUUACACACACCAAUUACAUGCAACUCGGAUCUUCUGAAAGCUAUUUUCUAACGAAUGUGUUAUGCAUGUCAACUUGUUUAGGCCUUUCUGUUCUGUGCAAAUAUGCUCGAAAUAUCAUUGCAAUUUUUCAUUUCAUAUACACGGGUGCACGAGUUUAAAUAAAUGCAUGCUUAGCAAUUUCAUAUUAAAUGAAAUUUGUUUUCAAACGUUUCUGAUUUCACAGAGAUAUUGGAGGAAAUUGUCCACCCUCCCAAACAAAUCAAGCAUAGUUUUUGUCAUAUUAAUGGAUAAUUAUUAAUAAUUCAUGACCAACAGCCUAUGUUUUCAAAUUAGAAAUGCAUGUUUUCAUAUGGGUGCAAACCAGUUAUAGCGGACGAAUAUUCUAUUUUGAACAGGGAACGGUGGCGAAUUAAAAUACUUCAAUUCUUCCCUAGAUUUUUACCAACGUGUCAAUUUGAAUUACAGUAUUUAAAAAGCUACGAAUGUAUUAACACUUUCAACACUGUUACAUUGAAGUCAAGGCUAUUAAUUAGCAUGUUACAAUAGCGUAAUUGACGACCUUACUUAACAUUAAGAGGCCUACUUUUUGGUAAAAUACAAUAUUCCCAUAAAUUCAAUUGGCUAACAAUAAACAGAUAACUAUUGAGCAGUCCUGCAUUCCCAUUCAGCAAUGUAAAGGUGCAUACCUUCCUUUUGAUGGCUCUACUGUAUAUUAUACAAGUCAUGCUGCUAUUGUCAUAAACAGUUAAAUGUCAAAGAGAAUGGCAAGCCCUCUUGAAUUGUCUGGAUAGUAGGAAUAGACAAUGAAUAAUCUCAGACAAACUUGUUCAUUCAGAUCAAUUCCAAUUAUUCUCCUUUCUCACACAAAAAAAACGUUGACCAAACCACUUUGAGCCAGUGGGAGGCUUCUGACCAAUCCUGACACAGGGGCUGCAGCAAGAGGUCAUAUGAGCUGACCCCACACAUUCCCCCCCCUUACAAAUCAACAUAAAUAGGACUGCAUGGCCAGACAGGACCUGUGACACUUGAAACAAAGGGACCCUGCUCGUGUGGUGUCACUCUGCUUCCGUGUGAUUGAUACAGGCCACAGCGGGGGCUUCAAACAACAACGGAUGUCCACUACCACCGGGGGCUGCAGUGAGACAUAGCUACUGGGAUUUCCAAUAGUACCCACUGCCCUCUGACAGACACCUGCUACGUGGACCACAGCUCCACAUCUCUCCAUCUAGAUUCUACGCUACAGCAUGGUCGUACUGCAGUGAAACACAAUGUCUGGUGAUACUGCAUAACUAAUCUAAUCAUAUAGAAAUGUUUUGCUGUUUUUAUACCAGUAUAUUAAAGUAUGCAUAUGCAAAAAUGUAUACGGUUUGUCAUGGCAUGAUGUACGCAAUUAGAUUAGAUUGUUAUUAGUAAGGAUGAUGAUUAUCUCAAUAAAUAAAGAUUUCCAUUAAAAAAUGUGUUUAAAAACAAUUAACGCGACAGGGUGUGUAUAUGGCUUAAUAUUGGUUUAGACCACUUGGUAAUUCAGAUAUAGCAACUGUCAGAUGUACUAUCAGACAACUAUUGAGAUAAAGAAAAUCUUGAAGUGACUUUAAAAUACUUCAAAUUAUUUAAGGCAAGCUUGAUUUAGCUUGGAGUAUGCACUCCAGUAUUCCAUUGGUUUUAUUGUGAACAUAAAUCAAUUGCACCUCGAGUACUUGAAUGUAUUUGACACAGGUCUGGAGAACUGUGACAACCAACCCAUGUCUCAGUUUCCCCUACAUUAUUGCCCAGCUCUAUGAAAAGCAGGAAGUGCAAAAUCGGAGCGUUGCAGAGAGUUUGUCUCACAACUAUUAAAGGAUAGUUCAUCUUUUCACAAGCAAACAUAAUUUCAACCCGCUUAACAUGAUCACACCUGGACGACAGUGCCUUCAAAAAGUAUUCACACCCCUUGACUUUUUCCACAUUUUGUGGUGUUACAGGCUGGAUUUAAAAUGGAGUAAACAUAGUUUUUUUUUUUUUUAUCACUGGCCUACACACAAUACCCCAUAAUGUCAAAGUGGAAA